rnacentral:rRNA from 1 species
CCUACGGGAGGCAGCAGUAAGGAAUAUUGGUCAAUGGAGGCAACUCUGAACCAGCCAUGCCGCGUGCAGGAUGACGGCCCUAUGGGUUGUAAACUGCUUUUAUACAAGAGAAAACCCUGGUACGUGUACCAGGUUGAUAGUAUUGUAAGAAUAAGCAUCGGCUAACUUCGUGCCAGCAGCCGCGGUAAGACGAAGGAUGCAAGCGUUAUCCGGAUUCAUUGGGUUUAAAGGGUGCGUAGGCGGACUGAUAAGUCAGUGGUGAAAUCUCUUUGCUUAACAAAGAAACUGCCAUUGAUACUGUCGGUCUAGAGUAUAGAUGACGUUGGCGGAAUAUGACAUGUAGUGGUGAAAUACUUAGAUAUGUCAUAGAACACCGAUUGCGAAGGCAGCUAACGAAACUAUAACUGACGCUGAGGCACGAAAGUGCGGGGAUCAAACAGGAUUAGAUACCCUGGUAGUCCGCACCGUAAACGAUGAUUACUCGUUGUUGGCGAUAUGACAGUCAGCGACCAAGCGAAAGCGAUAAGUAAUCCACCUGGGGAGUACGCCGGCAACGGUGAAACUCGAAAGGAAUUGACGG